rnacentral:rRNA from 1 species
UACGUAGGGGGCAAGCGUUGUCCGGAUUUACUGGGCGUAAAGCGCGCGUAGGCGGAGGUGCCAGUCCGGCCUGAAAGCCCCCGGCUCAACCGGGGAGAGUGGCUGGAAACUGCAGCUCUUGAGGGCGAGAGAGGAGGGUGGAAUUCCUGGUGUAGCGGUGAAAUGCGUAGAGAUCAGGAGGAACACCCGGGGCGAAGGCGGCCCUCUGGCUCGACCCUGACGCUGAGGCGCGAAAGCGUGGGGAGCGAACGGGG